AUUUAAAUAGCUUAAUUUAGAGCACAGUUUUGAAGAUGCUGGGGUGAUAUUUAUAUCUUUAGAUA
rnacentral:tRNA from 1 species